rnacentral:rRNA from 1 species
UACGUAGGUGGCGAGCGUUGUCCGGAAUUACUGGGCGUAAAGGGCGCGUAGGCGGCUUUUUAAGUCAGAUGUGAAAACCCGGGGCUUAACUUCGGGACUGCAUUUGAAACUGGAGGGCUUGAGUGCAGGAGAGGUAAGUGGAAUUCCUAGUGUAGCGGUGAAAUGCGUAGAUAUUAGGAGGAACACCAGUGGCGAAGGCGACUUACUGGACUGUAACUGACGCUGAGGCGCGAAAGCGUGGGGAGCAAAC